UGUGAGGACCCCCGAUAGUUGCAAAUCCGAGACAAACAACAUGAGAAAAACACCCUGAGUCGCCAGCUCUUCACAACCAAACCGUGUGUCUCCCAAGCCUCAACCCAUCGCGGAUUCAAGUUCCAUUCAUGCAGAUCGAAACCUUUCACACAUGCAACGGUAAUCAUCUCCCACUUGGUUCAAUAUACAUAUCUCUCAGCUUGCUAAAAAUCUUUGAGAGCUAUGUUUCGUGAUGAGUCUGGGUAGAAGCUUACACUGAUUUUCUUCCGUAUUAGGUACCCGAGAUGCACAAAGAGACGGAAAAGACUGACUCGAAUAGUCCCCAAACUCACGGAUCUGCAAAGUUGGAGGUUAAAACCGUUACCCUUGUGAUUGAUUGAACUGUGAUCUGGUAUUUUGUUAAGAAAACUAGUACUGUGACUAAAAAAUGACACUCAAAUCCAGUGUAGAACCGAGAGAAAACACCCCCUGAGCUGCCGAUCCAGUGGUCCCAGAAGGCUGAAUAAACGGCAAAUGCCUCGGCCUCUGCAAAUCAGGAAGGUAAAGAUCUUGUUCUUCUGCUUUCACUCAGCUCAACAUGUACAGAUUCAACUACAUUUCAUUUAUAAUGCCAUAUUGACCGUGUAUAUACUCCCAGAAUGACUUUAUACGAACUGAAAACAUACAAGCGCUUGAAAAACUUGGAUCUCGAAACUGGUAACAACUGCGGACUAGAACACAUUUGCUCCCAGAAAAGAAUGAAAUAAGCCCUGGAUCAGAACUGAGAACAUACAUGUAGACCAUGUGAACUGGAACCUUUUUGAGGACAUAAUGAAAAACCCAUCCCGGACUGGAAUAAUGAAAUACUAUUCAACUCCAAUGCAUGAGUAAUAUAUCUGCUGAAAAAUAGUUAUGGUUUCUAACUCAUGAAUCUGGUGAUUUUUGUUUUGAUCUGUAUAGGAACUCCAGUUUGGUCCCUGCACAGAGGUAGAAGACAUGAUCAGCUCGGACAUCUCAGGUCCGAUGUCUAUAUGAAUGUAAGAUUAAUUCUAGACUUUGUUUGGGUCCUGAUCUGUAUAGAUGUUCGUUCUAUGUCCCUGCAUGUACUCAUAUUGGUACUCUGUGUAGGGAUAUGCGGAUCCCUCAUAUUGGUACUCAUAUUUGUGUUAGCCAUUCCUGUUAUGUUUCUGCAUAGUAUAGUGAUUAGAGUUUUUUAAUGAGAAGAAUUUGAAAGACCAAUGUAGAUGGAAGUCACAUUUGCACUAUUGGGGCGAAACUAUUGACACACCCCAUCCCGAAGAAGGGCAUGCUGGCCGUCACGUGAGAGUGACGUCACCAUUUGCACAGUACGGAAGCUUUAAUUAUACAACUUCAUAGGUAAUACACCCGAAGGUGCGUCCUAAUUUGGUCAAUUCUGUCAGAACCCCGCUGAAUUCCUCGUAGUCACCACACCUCUGCAAUUCUUUAACCUGGAGGGGCGCAAAACCAAAAUUGAGUGGGUCAGUAAAACAAAUCUUUUCAAAUCCAACUUUUCUCAAAACAUUGUAACCCCUCUCCGUAAAACUUGUAUACUUUCCCAGAAAUGUAAAAUAUAAAUAUACAUAUAUAAUCUCAAACUUCAAUUCACUUUUUCAACAUUUUUCAUAUCAGUUAUGCCAUGCUAUGUCUAAAUUCAACAGUAUAAUAUGAAUGCAUCAACAUAAAUCAGGUGAAAGAAAAUAAUCAACCGGAGGCCCUACAAUGGCCCUGUACGGCUGAAUCUAAAGCUCAAUAUCUCAUUCGGCCGGAGUCACCAACUGUGACCUGUACGGCCUAUUGCCGGAGUCACUAGCUGUAACCUGUACGGCCUCUUACCGGAGUCACCAACUGUGACCUGUACGGCACUACACUGCACAUAAGUCGGAACCACCUAAUGUAGUCUGUACGACUUAAUGGUUAAUAUUACGCUCUAGUGCUUUUCUCAUCAAUCAUCUGUGCACAUAAUCUAAGGUCACCCACCAGUCGGAACCUCUCUAAAGGUCUGUACGACUGGCCUGUCGGAACCAUCUCCUGUGGUCUGUACGACAGCAUAUACUUGGAUCCAAGGCGAGCGUGCGAUGCGGUGAAUACUAUAAGCACUAAUACCAUGGUGCAGGUUAUGAACCCAAUAUAUCUCAACAUCAUCAUAACAGUAAUAAUACUCACCUGUGCGUCCACCGCACCAUUUCACAUAUAUGCAUCAUAUAUCAUUUCAUACUUUUCAUAUCAUUUCUAUGCAUGGCAUUUCAAUUCCCGUUUUUCUAUAUACUUUUCAUAUCAUUUCAUGCAUGGCAUAUUUUCAUUCAAAUUCAAUUUCUGGGAAAAUGUCAAGUAUAUAUAUAUAUGGAAAACAAAACUGCCCACUCACAGAAUACAUCGACGUGUCGAAGGUCCCUGAGCCUCCCUUAGCCCUGCCCAACGUCCGUAUAAUCCUCGCCUAUACGAGAAGUAACCAAAUUGACGUUAUUUAACGCAUAAUUCCACUCUUAGCUAAUAACUCCUCAUAUAUUACUCAAAUUGGGUAUAUGAAUAUACCACUGUGACCUACACAACCUCAGGAUCAUUCC
rnacentral:lncRNA from 1 species